rnacentral:rRNA from 1 species
GCGCAGCAGUCGCGAAUAGUCUACAAUGGACGAAAGUCUGAUAGUGCGACGCCGUGUGUGCGAUUAAUUCCUUCGGGAUGUAAGGCACUUUUCUAUGAGAUAAAAGCUCUUUAGGUUAAUAGCUUAUUGAGACGGAUAUUAUUAUAGGAAUAAGCUCCGGCUAACUCCGUGCCAGCAGCCGCGGUAAUACGGAAGGAGCGAGCGUUGUCCGGAUUUACUAGGCGUAAAGGGCUAGUAGGCGACUAAUUAAGUUAUAUGUUAAAUCCCACGGCUCAACUGUGGUCCUGCAUGUAAUACUGGUUAGAUAGAGUACUGUAGAGGAAGGCAGAAUUCCUGGAGUAGCGGUGGAAUGCGCAGAUAUCAGGAAGAAUACCAAAAGCGAAGGCAGCCUUCUGGGCAGUUACUGACGCUGAAUAGCGAAGGUGUGGGUAGCGAACAGGAUUA